GGCUCAGUGGUUCAAUGGUAAAGCGCUCUUCGCGGAGCCAGAAGAUCUUGGGUUCUAUCCCCAACAGGGUCG
rnacentral:tRNA from 1 species